rnacentral:rRNA from 1 species
AUUGAACGCUGGCGGCAGGCCUAACACAUGCAAGUCGAGCGAGCGGCGGACGGGUGAGUAAUGUAUGGGGACUGCCCGAUAGAGGGGGAUAACUACUGGAAACGGUGGCUAAUACCGCAUACUAUCGGAUAACCCAUAGGGGAUUAGCUAGUAGGUGGGGUAAAGGCUCACCUAGGCGACGAUCUCUAGCUGGUCUGAGAGGAUGAUCAGCAAACAUGGGACUGAGACACGGCCCAGACUCCUACGGAGGCAGCAGUGGGGAAUAUUGGGCAAGGGGCGAAAGCCUGAUGCAGCCAUGCCGCGGGUAUGAAGAAGGCCUGAGGGUUGUAAAAUUCUUUUAGCGGGGAGGCGUUACCCACAGAAGAAGCACCGGCUAACUCCGUGCCAGCAGCCGCGGUAAUUC